ensembl:misc_RNA Metazoa_SRP Metazoan signal recognition particle RNA
GCCGGGUGUGGUGGUGCACACCUGUAGUCCCAGCUACUCAGGAGGCUGAGGCAGGAGAAUUGCUUGAACCCAGGAGAUGGAGGUUGCAGUGAGCCAAGAUAGUGCCACUGCACUCCAGCCUGGGUGACAGAGCAAGACUCCAUCUCAA